rnacentral:rRNA from 1 species
AGGUGGUUUAUUAAGUCAGAUGUGAAAGCCCCGGGCUUAACCUGGGAACUGCAUUUGAUACUGGUAAACUAGAGUAUGGUAGAGGGGGGUAGAAUUCCUAGUGUAGCGGUGAAAUGCGUAGAUAUUAGGAGGAAUACCAGUGGCAAAGGCGGCCCCCUGGACCAAUACUGACGCUGAGGUACGAAAGCGUGGGUAGCGAACA